rnacentral:rRNA from 1 species
AUCGGGGCAGGGUGAGUCGACCCCUAAGGCGAGGCCGAAAGGCGUAGUCGAUGGGAAACAGGUUAAUAUUCCUGUACUUGGUGUUACUGCGAAGGGGGGACGGAGAAGGCUAUGUUAGCCGGGCGACGGUUGUCCCGGUUUAAGCAUGUAGGCUGGUUAUCCAGGCAAAUCCGGAUAAUCAAGGCUGAGGUGUGAUGACGAGGCACUACGGUGCUGAAGUAACAAAUGCCCUGCUUCCAGGAAAAGCCUCUAAGCAUC